GAUGAACGCUGGCGGCGUGCUUAACACAUGCAAGUCGAACGAAGCUGUUGUUUGGAGACCUUCGGGUGGAAGAAUGACAGACUGAGUGGCGGACGGGUGAGUAACGCGUGGGUAACCUACCUUGCACAGGGGGACAACAGUUGGAAACGACUGCUAAUACCGCAUAAGACCACAGUACCGCAUGGUACAGGGGUAAAAACUGAGGUGGUGCAAGAUGGACCCGCGUCUGAUUAGCUAGUUGGUGGGGUAAAGGCCUACCAAGGCGACGAUCAGUAGCCGACCUGAGAGGGUGAUCGGCCACAUUGGGACUGAGACACGGCCCAAACUCCUACGGGAGGCAGCAGUGGGGAAUAUUGGACAAUGGGGGGAACCCUGAUCCAGCGACGCCGCGUGAGUGAAGAAGUAUUUCGGUAUGUAAAGCUCUAUCAGCAGGGAAGAAAAUGACGGUACCUGACUAAGAAGCCCCGGCUAACUACGUGCCAGCAGCCGCGGUAAUACGCAGGGGGCAAGCGUUAUCCGGAUUUACUGGGUGUAAAGGGAGCGCAGACGGCUUGGCAAGUCUGAAGUGAAAGCCCGGGGCUUAACCCCGGGACUGCUUUGGAAACUGUGAAGCUAGAGUGUCGGAGAGGUAAGUGGAAUUCCCAGUGUAGCGGUGAAAUGCGUAGAUAUUGGGAGGAACACCGGUGGCGAAGGCGGCUUACUGGACGAUAACUGACGUUGAGGCUCGAAGGCGUGGGGAGCAAACAGG
rnacentral:rRNA from 1 species